GCAGCAGAGUUAAUUGCUCAUUCUUUCCAUGGAUGGGUUAAUAAUUAAUUUAAAUUAAUAAUUGGGGCAAUAAUUAAACUAAACAAUAACUAAUACGUGGGACGAUUGAAGCGAUCGUUCUCGGUGGAAGUAUUCGCCGCGGUUACUCAUUCACCCGCUGCUUCACGCGCUGAAUCCCGCACCUGGCCCGCUCGGCGCCGGGCCGCGUCGCGGGGACGGUGCGGGGAGGCGGCGGCCCCCGGCGCCCCGGAGCGCUCGGGAUUCGGGGCUCUGCCCCGCCAACCGGCGAGCCGCCAGCUGCCGCGGCUGCGGGGGGGAGACCCGCCGGCUGCAGCCAGCGCGGCCCCGCGGCCCCCCCGCCGCUGCGCCGUCCCCUCCCCGGGCGGGAGGCGGCUCCGGGCCCGGCCCGGGGGGAGGAACUACAAGUCCCGUGGAGCCGCGCCGCCGCCGCCGCCGCUAUAUAAGGGGGGAAAUGGCCCGGCCGCCGCAGUGGGAGCAUCCUCGGCACCUGGGGCCGGUGGCCGCGGCUUUCCGCCGUGCUCCCCGCCCGCUGCGGGCUCCGGCCCGGCUGCCGGGAGCGGCGCGGCGCCUCCCCCGCUGCCGCCGGGGCCGCUGAGCCGCUUCGCCGGCGCGGAGCCGCCGUGCGGGGCCGGUCCCCGGAGGAGGAGGAGGAUGCCGGAGCCCGCGGGGACGACGCAGCGCGGCCGGAGGAUCCUUGGAGAAGGCUCUGGGUGCGUGGGGCUGGGCCCGUGAGAGGAGAGCCACGGUGCUGCAGCGCAGGCUGUGCCGAAACGCCCAGGAGCAUCCUUCCAGGGAUGGAGCUGCAAGAUCCAGCGUGGAGAGAGGAAAGCGGGAGGGAAGCAGCUUACCCUGCUCUCCCCAGAAAGCUAGGGAGCUUUUGGGAGCUGUGGUGAGCUCCUUCAGCCAUCCCUUGCCAUGGAAAACAGCUUCAGCGCCAGCCACCCACUGUGCCUCUGCUGUGAUUCACUUUCCCUGCGCGGCGAGGGGGGUUUCCUCCCGGCUCUGACCUCGCUCCGCGGACUCCCACGCAGGGCCCGCAGGACUUAAUUAGAUGCUCUCUGCUGGGCUUUGGAAACGCUGCUCUUGGCCGGGUGACUUUCAAGCCGGAUAUGUGGGGCUGAAUGGCUAAGUGCUUUCAGGUCAAACAGUAGCUCAAUUUUCUACCCCGUAAAGGACCAAGUGUUUGCCCAGUUCCAGGGAAGCAGCUGUGGAGAUUUUUUUUUUUAACCCCUCUGCUCAUCUUCCUGAUUUCUUUCUGGAUUUUGGGCUUUUCAUGAGGAUGGUUUGACCCAACCUGGAGAAUAUGGGAUUCCCAAAACGCAGAUUCCUGCAGUGGGAACUGGAGAAGCAAAAGCCUUUGGAGCCGUGCGAUGUGGGGAGCAGAACAACAGGAAUUAAGUUGUCAGUGACUGGCCGGCGAUUGGAUUGCCCCGGGGCUCUGAACUGCCUGGGAGAGUCCUGCCGUCGGUCGUGCAUUGCGUGGCCUCGCGCCCUUCGAGCCCGCGCAAGCCGAGCGCGGCGCAGACGGCUCCCGGUGCCGUGGGAAGCUGAACGCGCGCUCCCCGGGGUGCCCCCGCGCUGGAAAACAGCCGAGGUGGGGUGAGAGGAGUGGGUGAAGGAAUGCGUUGGGCCUGACCGCAGCGAGGGGAACGUCAAGAUGGGGAAAAAUGUCACCCUCAGAAACAAUUAAACUUCUUAAUAAAAUCUGUUGCCUUUCUGA